CUUGUUUAGACGACACUGUUGCUGCGCUUUUGAGCCCUGCGUUACAUUUUUUCCCCCUUCUAAUGUCUGCCGUCAUCUAUCAAAAUGCAAUGAUACGCUAUUUUGAAAGCGGUGUAAUGGCGUAAUGCACAUAAAAUACGCAAAGGACAUUCUUGCCAGAUUCAGGGAUUUUGAGACUACCCGGCCAUUUUCGCCUGGAAGAGGGAAGAAGAUCUGUUAUGUUGUCUACUUUCCGGUUUUCUUUACCUGGCAGUCAAAACUCCGGGGCUCUCAACGUGUGCGGGGGUUUCCCAGCCGCCAGGGGAUGUUGCGUUGGAAAGGCAGGUUGCUGGUAAAGACGUGCUGCUGCUAUAGCUACCUGCUGUUGCGGUAGUGUUUCGUAUGCUGAUGAUAGCUACCUCCCUAGCUAGUCUAAAUAAGGUUGUAAUCUUCGGGUGUUUAUUGCUGCGCUUUUGAGCACCGAUUGCAUAUUUUCUUAACUCAUGUAUCUACCGUCAUUUAGCAAGACGUAAUGAUUAGCAGUUUUGAAAUUCCCGCAUGCAAGAGGCGUAAUGGCGUAGUAAUUCACGUAAGGUACGCAAAAGCCAUUGUUGCCAGAUUGAGGGAUUUUGAGACUAUUUAGCCCAUUUAUUUAAUGGAAGUGGAUGAAGAUCGGUUUCGUUGCCUAUUACGGGAUUCCUUUACCUGGUAGUUGAAACUUGGGUCUCUCAAUGAGCGCACUCCAAUUUUUUUCCAUUUAUAUAUGUAUAUUUUUAUAUAGGCAUACUCUGUUUUUUGCUACGCAGGGCGAGGCCCUUUGAGCGUGACGCCCCCCCCGCCACGCCACGCCACGCCAAUGACGCCAACCACGUGACAGAGGAGCAAUCCAUGAAAUGGGACAAUUGGCAAGCAAUUGAUCCUGCCCAAAUCCCAGAGUUCCUGUGGGAAUAAUCAAUAUCUGAAAACAGAGCGCUUAACGAAGCGAGGGAAGAAGAGCGUGGGUGGAAGAGAGAAAGAGAGAGAGCGGCCAGGUUUCCACAGCAACGGCCGAUCAACAGCAGCAGUAGCCAAGGGGGUAAUUCCAUCUUGAAGAGAACAGGCUACAGGAGCCACUGCAACGCAGUAAAGACUGGGGGCAUAUUUGGGGCCGAUGGGAGCCCAGCCCUGCUAUUAUCCAGGAGAUGAUGCUAUUUCCUGUGCGAAUCUGUCAUUAAUGUAUGUCAGUCAAGCUUUAUCAGUUUUCUGUUUAAUUCAACAAACAAAUUUCUGUUCUGUCCCCCUCUCAGUGUUCAGAUUUUGUAGGGCAGGCCAGGGGGCCAGCCCACAUUGAUUUUCUCUGGUUGCGUGCAAUUGGCUACAUGUGGUUGAUGCUACCUCAAUGGUUUGGUGGGUAUGUCUGUCCCAAAAUUUUGUAAAAGCAGAAGUGAAUUAAUUGGGACCUGCAACACAUUCUGUGAAUUCCCGGCAUUUCAACCCUCUUGGGUGCUGUCAGACACAUUACCAGUGCCCAGCCAGGAAGGCUCAAGGUCAAUGGUCACACAAAGGCAUCUUAUGUAGAGUACAUUUUGAGGACUGAUGUAUUGGCCUCAUAGCUUGGUGUUUAUCACAUCUUUAAGUUAGCUAGCUAGUUUAGUUAGCGGUCAUCAUAGAUAACGUCGACUAGCCAAUCCCCCUAGAACGUCAUUUUAAAAUGUAGCAUUAAGAAUGAAAUGUAGAGAUAAAACAUUUCAGCACUUGUCAGCCACUAAAAAUUGAAAUGAGGCCAUCCACUGAAAUAUAGCAAGCCGGAAAGUAAGAUUAAAGUGGAGUGGUUUGUGGAUGAAUGGAGCAGCUGUGGCUAACAUCUGUUUUGAGGUUGGUGCUAUAUAACAUGUCUUAUUGUUGCAUGGAGCUGUAACUAUGCUAUAGGAAAUAUCAGCAUGAAUGUUGUUGCUUAAUUGUUGUCUUGGUAAUCAUUGUAAUAAGCAGGUGUUUUUGCUGUGUUCUGAUAUGCUCUUACAACGUCUCAUUGUUUUUCAGGCGGAAAUGUCUUUUGCUGUAUUAUAAACAUUAUUCAACUGCGGUGUUCAAUGCAAUAUGUAUUUCAGGAUGACUAUAAACUGCAUAUAACCCAAAUGUUGCGUGUUUGUCUGGGUGCUUCAAGACACAUUUAUUGGAUUUGUUAUUGUGG
ensembl:lncRNA